AUGAUUGAUAUCUACUUGUGACAUUCACAGUAUUGACUAUAUCAGUUCGAGUACAUAACAUGACAUAUAUCUAUGCCCAAGAGGAUAGCAGACCCCUCUCGAGAUUUUUAUGCCAAACUCUUUCAGCAUCUACUCUCUAUACUUUUCUAUGAAAACACAAGCAUCCAAUUGGAUCUAUCUCUAUAGAUCCCUAUAUUCUCAGAAUAUAGGAUGCUUGCCCU
rnacentral:lncRNA from 1 species